CAAGUCGAACGGUAACAGGAAGCAGCUUGCUGUUUCGCUGACGAGUGGCGGACGGGUGAGUAAUGUCUGGGAAACUGCCUGAUGGAGGGGGAUAACUACUGGAAACGGUAGCUAAUACCGCAUAACGUCGCAAGACCAAAGAGGGGGACCUUCGGGCCUCUUGCCAUCGGAUGUGCCCAGAUGGGAUUAGCUAGUAGGUGGGGUAACGGCUCACCUAGGCGACGAUCCCUAGCUGGUCUGAGAGGAUGACCAGCCACACUGGAACUGAGACACGGUCCAGACUCCUACGGGAGGCAGCAGUGGGGAAUAUUGCACAAUGGGCGCAAGCCUGAUGCAGCCAUGCCGCGUGUAUGAAGAAGGCCUUCGGGUUGUAAAGUACUUUCAGCGGGGAGGAAGGGAGUAAAGUUAAUACCUUUGCUCAUUGACGUUACCCGCAGAAGAAGCACCGGCUAACUCCGUGCCAGCAGCCGCGGUAAUACGGAGGGUGCAAGCGUUAAUCGGAAUUACUGGGCGUAAAGCGCACGCAGGCGGUUUGUUAAGUCAGAUGUGAAAUCCCCGGGCUCAACCUGGGAACUGCAUCUGAUACUGGCAAGCUUGAGUCUCGUAGAGGGGGGUAGAAUUCCAGGUGUAGCGGUGAAAUGCGUAGAGAUCUGGAGGAAUACCGGUGGCGAAGGCGGCCCCCUGGACGAAGACUGACGCUCAGGUGCGAAAGCGUGGGGAGCAAACAGGAUU
rnacentral:rRNA from 2 species